rnacentral:rRNA from 1 species
GAAAGAUGAAAAGAACUUUGAAAAGAGAGUUAAACAGUACGUGAAAUUGUUGAAAGGGAAACGAUUGAAGUCAGUCGUACCAGCGGGAAAUCAACCUUUCGAGUGGGGGUUUUGGAGUUUUGAAGAGUGGUUAAAACCUUUGAGAUUUCAAAAAUUUCGCUCUUUUGGUGUACUUUCUCGUGGGUAGGUUAACAUCGAUUUUGAUCAUCAUAAAAAGAUUGGAGGAAUGUAGCUUCGAUCUUGUAUUGAAGUGUUAUA